rnacentral:rRNA from 1 species
UCAAGUAGAAAAGGGCGCAUGGUGAAUGCCUAGGCACUAGAAGCCGAUGAAGGACGUGACGAACCACGAAAGGCUUCGGGGAGCAGUAAGUAAGCGAUGAUCCGGAGAUAUCCGAAUGGGGGAACCCAAUACCGCGAGGUAUUAUCAAGAGCUGUUAAGGCUGUUGAAGGAAGACGCAGUGAACUGAAACAUCUAAGUAGCUGCAGGAAGAGAAAGAAAAAUCGAUUUCCCAAGUAGCGGCGAGCGAACAGGAAAGAGCCCAAACCAGCUGGCUUGCCAGUUGGGGUAGUAGGACUGCAAUAAAGUACUUGAAGCGAUAGCAGAAUUAUCUGGAAAGAUAAGCCAGAGAGGGUGAGAGCCCCGUAAGCGAAAUUGCAGAGAGACUUAGCAGGAUCCUGAGUAGGUCGGGACACGAGGAAUCCCGAUUGAAACCGCGAGGACCAUCUCGCAAGGCUAAAUACUAACUAGUGACCGAUAGUGAACCAGUACCGUGAGGGAAAGGUGAAAAGAACCCCGGAAGGGGAGUGAAAGAGAACCUGAAACCGUGUGCCUACAAGUAGUCAAAGCACAUUAAAGUGUAAUGGCGUGCCUUUUGUAGAAUGAACCGGCGAGUUACGUUAUGGUGCAAGGUUAAGUCAGAAAAGACGGAGCCGGAGCGAAAGCGAGUCUGAAGAGGGCGAGAGAGUAUCAUGACGUAGACCCGAAACCAAGUGACCUACCCAUGACCAGGUUGAAGGCGUGGUAAAACACGCUGGAGGACCGAACCCACGUGAGUUAAAAAUCGCGGGGAUGAGUUGUGGGUAGCGGUGAAAUUCCAAACGAACUUGGAGAUAGCUGGUUCUCUCCGAAAUAGCUUUAGGGCUAGCCUCGUGUGAAUGAUAAUGGAGGUAGAGCGCUGUUUGGACUAGGGGCCCGUCAGGGGUUACUGAAUCCAGAUAAACUCCGAAUGCCAGAUAUCAAUGCACGGGAGUCAGACUGCGAGUGAUAAGAUCCGUAGUCGAAAGGGAAACAGCCCAGAUCACCAGUUAAGGUCCCCAAAUCUAUGCUAAGUGGAAAAGGAUGUGGAGUUGCGUAGACAACUAGGAUGUUGGCUUAGAAGCAGCCACCAUUUAAAGAGUGCGUAAUAGCUCACUAGUCGAGUGACGCUGCGCCGAAAAUGUACCGGGGCUAAGCAUAGUACCGAAACUGUGGAUGCAUAUCAAAGGAUAUGCGUGGUAGGAGAGCGUUCUAAGUGCGGAGAAGUUAGAUCGAGAGGACUAAUGGAGCGCUUAGAAGUGAGAAUGCCGGUAUGAGUAGCGAAAGAUAGGUGAGAAUCCUAUCCGCCGAAAGACUAAGGUUUCCUGGGGCAGGCUCGUCCGCCCAGGGUAAGUCGGGACCUAAGGUAAGGCCGAGAGGCGUAGCCGAUGGACAACAGGUAGAGAUUCCUGUACUGAAAUUGUUCGAUAAGAGCAAAGGAGGGACGCAGGAGGCUAAUGACGCAUGUAGCAGGAAAAACAUGUGCAAGCAGUAAGAAAAAAGAUGAGUCAAAUGCUUAUUUUUAGAUUUCAAGCUGUGACGCGGAGUGAAAUCAAAGUAGCGAAGGUCAUGAUGUCACACUGCCAAGAAAAGCUUCUAGCCAGAGCAAUUUUACCCGUACCGCAAACCGACACAGGUAGUCGAGUGGAGAACACUCAGGUGAGCGAGAGAACUCUCGUUAAGGAACUCGGCAAAAUGACCCCGUAACUUCGGGAGAAGGGGUGCUGAUGGUAAAAGAUCAGCCGCAGUGAAUAGGCCCAAACAACUGUUUAUCAAAAACACAGGUAUCUGCAAAAUCGUAAGAUGACGUAUAGGUGCUGACACCUGCCCGGUGCUGGAAGGUUAAGAGGAGAGCUUAGCGCAAGCGAAGGUUUGAAUUGAAGCCCCAGUAAACGGCGGCCGUAACUAUAACGGUCCUAAGGUAGCGAAAUUCCUUGUCAGGUAAGUUCUGACCCGCACGAAAGG